AUAAAGUAUGCAACUAUAAGUAUAGCAAGUACAAACGUGAACUUCCCCCACAUUUUCCCUUUUCUUCCAAACCCUCUUUCGUGUUAACAUUGUCACUACUUUGACUUUUACCUGUAGGUGGAUGAAGUCACGACAAAAGAAGUUAAGCUGCCAGCAGAAAUGGAAGGGAAAAAGAUGGCUGUAACCCGGACCAGAACGAAGCCAGUACUCUUACACUGUGAUAUCAUUGGGGAUGCUUUCUGGAAGGAACAUCCAGAAAUCCUUUAUGAAGACAGCUGACACUCUGCUCUUUAAUUCUGCUGUGUUUAACCAUGCAAGGCUCCCAGGUCUUCUUGCCUUAGGUGGCCCUAGCAUUCCUGCCACCCAGAACUGUACCAGAAAUGACAUGACUUGAGUUAGGAGGGAGCAGGGAAGGAAGGAAUUGAUGGGGGUGGUAUAUCUUGUUCUCUUAAGCAGAACACCUUUUUUGCAAUGUUAGAACAUGAUUUCUGUGGGUUUUUUUCCAAAAUCGUGGUACUAUUUUUAUAAAGUAAGAACUAUUUAAUGCCUUGUGAGAUGAGUCAUUUUUAGAUUGUGGCAUAAGCCUUAUAAAAAUCUGUCAGCUCUUUUCACCUAUGAUAGAAAUGAAGCCCAAACUUUACUCUCACCCACAUAUUCUUAACUAGAGAACCCAGUGACUUUGAAUAUCUCACUUCUGUACCCAUGUACUUGGAUAAUCUUGAUAGACCUGAAGAUAAAUAUGAGUUAAAACCUGCCUGGUGCCUCUGAAUUCCAGAUAUUCCAGGGAAAACUCAGGGCUUUGUGCAAGUCUCCAAAUCAGCAGUUUUGGCUGAAUAAAUGAGUAGUGGUAUUAGAUACCCUUGUGUACACCCUCCAAGGACUGAUUUUAUGGAGUUGCCAGCAUAAUGAUGAUCAUCAUCUUGCCGGAAGCAUAGGCUAAAGCCACUUACCUUUUUCUAAGUACAUGUGAGACAUAUAUAUAUAUAUAUAUAUAUAUAUAUAUAUAUAUAUAUAUAUAUAUGAUAAAGAAAAUAUGUGAGAAUGAGUAAAAAUGGAGACCAUUUUUUACUCCGUGUCCUCUAGAUACUUCCGUUUUAAAAGCUGUCUUCCAGUUCGGCUGCCUGAAAGAUUCAAAAGUAGUCUCUAUGGAAUCAGAAAAUGACAUUUGAAUUCAAGAGCAGAGGGGUCAACAUAGCCCUUGGGGCAGCUGUCAAAUGAGUCCUACUAACUCCACCUCCUAAUGGGCCAAUGGAGAUAGGAGACCUGCAGAGGUGAUGGUAUGCUGGGAGCUGUUGAAGUGUGAAAGGGGGCGGGUAAGUCAUGGGGAUGGGUGGUGAGUAGCUUUACAUUCCUCUUGUCCUUACUUUGUAUAUUAGAGGAAGAAGAUUAUUUGGCUCAAUUAAGAUUUAAUUAAGAGACAGCCCAUGUCCCAGUUGCUGGUCUUGCAUUGCAGAAUUUACAGCCAAGAAGAAAAUGUAUUUUUGAAAGUGUGACGGAUGGCCUCAUCCUUCAGUAAUUGACAUCCCAUCUGUCGAUGCCAUUUUUUUCCUUCCUGUCCCCCCACCCCCUCCACAGGAAAAGAACAAGUAUCUCAUGUUUGGUAAUUGCUAAAAUGUCUGAAAAAAAAAAAAAUAAAG
rnacentral:lncRNA from 1 species